GAUGAACGCUGGCGGCGUGCUUAACACAUGCAAGUCGAACGGAACAUUUCGCCCGAAGAUUGAAGUAGCUUGCUAUGGAUUGACUCAACUGAAAUGUUUAGUGGCGGACGGGUGAGUAACGCGUGGGUAACCUACCUUACACAGGGGGAUAACAGUUAGAAAUGACUGCUAAUACCGCAUAAGCGCACAGUAUCGCAUGAUACAGUGUGAAAAACUCCGGUGGUGUAAGAUGGACCCGCGUCUGAUUAGCUAGUUGGUGAGGUAACGGCCCACCAAGGCGACGAUCAGUAGCCGGCCUGAGAGGGUGAACGGCCACAUUGGAACUGAGACACGGUCCAAACUCCUACGGGAGGCAGCAGUGGGGAAUAUUGCACAAUGGGGGAAACCCUGAUGCAGCGACGCCGCGUGAGUGAUGAAGUAUUUCGGUAUGUAAAGCUCUAUCAGCAGGGAAGAUCAUGACGUACA
rnacentral:rRNA from 1 species